CAAAUUGCUGCAUUUUAUGAUCUUUCGUCGGAUGUUGCAAAGACAUGUGGAGGGAGCAUCAUUACAAGGAACAUUAUUCUGACUGCGUCGCAUUGCCUGUUUGAACCAGGCGCCUUUGCGCUAAAGGUCAUGGUGUUGUACAACUCCAAGUUGAAUGUCAAUGGUAAAGCAUAUCUAGCUGAAAAGAUGAUGGUGCACCCAAAAUACGUAAGCAAGACACGGAUCGUGCAUGACAUCGCACUUCUGAAACUGGCAGUGGACCUGGAAUUCAACAGACUGGUAAAACCAGUGUGCCUGCCUAGAGGAAAAAUGGACAUUGCAGGCAAGACUCUUGUAGUUGCCGGUUGGGGUAGGACAGAAUCUGCAAAAGAAAGCAAAGUUAUUCUGCACGCAGAAGUUGUUGCUCUCACGGAUGCCAAGUGCAAAAAAGUAUUACGAAGAUACGGAAAUCCCUUCACGUUACAAGGCCUGCGACCUG